AUUGAACGCUGGCGGCAGGCUUAACACAUGCAAGUCGAGCGGAGUGAUGGUGCUUGCACUAUCACUUAGCGGCGGACGGGUGAGUAAUGCUUAGGAAUCUGCCUAUUAGUGGGGGACAACAUCUCGAAAGGGAUGCUAAUACCGCAUACGUCCUACGGGAGAAAGCAGGGGCUCACUUGUGACCUUGCGCUAAUAGAUGAGCCUAAGUCGGAUUAGCUAGUUGGUGGGGUAAAGGCCUACCAAGGCGACGAUCUGUAGCGGGUCGGAGAGGAUGAUCCGCAACACUGGGACUGAGACACGGCCCAGACUCCUACGGGAGGCAGCAGUGGGGAAUAUUGGACAAUGGGGGGAACCCUGAUCCAGCCAUGCCGCGUGUGUGAAGAAGGCCUUAUGGUUGUAAAGCACUUUAAGCGAGGAGGAGGCUCUUUUGGUUAAUACCCAAGAUGAGUGGACGUUACUCGCAGAAUAAGCACCGGCUAACUCUGUGCCAGCAGCCGCCGUAAUAC
rnacentral:rRNA from 1 species